rnacentral:rRNA from 1 species
UACGAAGGGGGCUAGCGUUGCUCGGAAUGACUGGGCGUAAAGGGCGCGUAGGCGGUUUGUACAGUCAGGUGUGAAAUUCCCGGGCUCAACCUGGGGGCUGCACUUGAUACGUAUGGACUUGAGUGGGGAAGAGGGUCGUGGAAUUCCCAGUGUAGAGGUGAAAUUCGUAGAUAUUGGGAAGAACACCGGUGGCGAAGGCGGCUAUCUGGACCGACAUUGACGCUGAGGCGCGAAAGCGUGGGGAGCAAACAGG